GGGUUGUGAGGUUAAGCGACUAAGCGUACACGGUGGAUGCCCUGGCAGUCAGAGGCGAUGAAGGACGUGCUAAUCUGCGAAAAGCGUCGGUAAGGUGAUAUGAACCGUUACAGCCGGCGAUGUCCGAAUGGGGAAACCCAGUGCAAUUCGUUGCACUAUCGUUAACUGAAUACAUAGGUUAACGAGGCGAACCGGGGGGAACUGAAACAUCUAAGUACCCCGAGGAAAAGAAAUCAACCGAGAUUCCCCCCAGUAGCGGCGAGCGAACGGGGAGCAGCCCAGAGUCUGAAUCAGCUUGUGUGUUAGUGGAACGGUCUGGAAAGUCCGACGGUACAGGGUGAUAGUCCCGUACACCAAAAUGCACAGGCUGUGAACUCGAAGAGUAGGGCGGGACACGUGGUAUCCUGUCUGAAUAUGGGGGGACCAUCCUCCAAGGCUAAAUACUCCUGACUGACCGAUAGUGAACCAGUACCGUGAGGGAAAGGCGAAAAGAACCCCGGCGAGGGGAGUGAAAAGAACCUGAAACCGUGUACGUACAAGCAGUGGGAGCACCUUCGGGUGUGACUGCGUACCUUUGUAUAAUGGGUCAGCGACUUAUAUUCUGUAGCAAGGUUAACCGUAUAGGGGAGCCGCAGGGAAACCGAGUCUUAACUGGGCGUUAAGUUGCAGGGUAUAGACCCGAAACCCGGUGAUCUAGCCAUGGGCAGGUUGAAGGUUGGGUAACACUAACUGGAGGACCGAACCGACUAAUGUUGAAAAAUUAGCGGAUGACUUGUGGCUGGGGGUGAAAGGCCAAUCAAACCGGGAGAUAGCUGGUUCUCCCCGAAAGCUAUUUAGGUAGCGCCUUGUGAACUCAUCUUCGGGGGUAGAGCACUGUUUCGGCUAGGGGGUCAUCCCGACUUACCAACCCGAUGCAAACUACGAAUACCGAAGAAUGUUAUCACGGGAGACACACGGCGGGUGCUAACGUCCGUCGUGAAGAGGGAAACAACCCAGACCGCCAGCUAAGGUCCCAAAGUCAUGGUUAAGUGGGAAACGAUGUGGGAAGGCACAGACAGCCGGAUGUUGGCUUAGAAGCAGCCAUCAUUUAAAGAAAGCGUAAUAGCUCACUGGUCGAGUCGGCCUGCGCGGAAGAUGUAACGGGGCUAAACCAUGCACCGAAGCUGCGGCAGCGACACUAUGUGUUGUUGGGUAGGGGAGCGUUCUGUAAGCCUGCGAAGGUGUGCUGUGAGGCAUGCUGGAGGUAUCAGAAGUGCGAAUGCUGACAUAAGUAACGAUAAAGCGGGUGAAAAGCCCGCUCGCCGGAAGACCAAGGGUUCCUGUCCAACGUUAAUCGGGGCAGGGUGAGUCGACCCUAAGGCGAGGCCGAAAGGCGUAGUCGAUGGGAAACAGGUUAAUAUUCCUGUACUUGGUGUUACUGCGAAGGGGGACGGAGAAGGCUAUGUUAGCCGGGCGACGGUUGUCCCGGUUUAAGCAUGUAGGCUGGUUAUCCAGGCAAAUCCGGAUAAUCAAGGCUGAGGUGUGAUGACGAGGCACUACGGUGCUGAAGUAACAAAUGCCCUGCUUCCGUGAAAAGCCUCUAAGCAUCAGGUAACAUCAAAUCGUACCCCAAACCGACACAGGUGGUCAGGUAGAGAAUACCAAGGCGCUUGAGAGAACUCGGGUGAAGGAACUAGGCAAAAUGGUGCCGUAACUUCGGGAGAAGGCACGCUGGUGUGUAGGUGAAGUCCCUGCGGAUGGAGCUGAGACCAGUCGAAGAUACCAGCUGGCUGCAACUGUUUAUUAAAAACACAGCACUGUGCAAACACGAAAGUGGACGUAUACGGUGUGACGCCUGCCCGGUGCCGGAAGGUUAAUUGAUGGGGUUAUCCGUAAGGAGAAGCUCUUGAUCGAAGCCCCGGUAAACGGCGGCCGUAACUAUAACGGUCCUAAGGUAGCGAAAUUCCUUGUCGGGUAAGUUCCGACCUGCACGAAUGGCGUAAUGAUGGCCAGGCUGUCUCCACCCGAGACUCAGUGAAAUUGAACUCGCUGUGAAGAUGCAGUGUACCCGCGGCAAGACGGAAAGACCCCGUGAACCUUUACUAUAGCUUGACACUGAACAUUGAGCCUUGAUGUGUAGGAUAGGUGGGAGGCUUUGAAGCGUGGACGCCAGUCUGCGUGGAGCCAACCUUGAAAUACCACCCUUUAAUGUUUGAUGUUCUAACGUUGGCCCCUUACCGGGGUUGCGGACAGUGUCUGGUGGGUAGUUUGACUGGGGCGGUCUCCUCCCAAAGCGUAACGGAGGAGCACGAAGGUUAGCUAAUCCUGGUCGGACAUCAGGAGGUUAGUGCAAUGGCAUAAGCUAGCUUGACUGCGAGCGUGACGGCGCGAGCAGGUGCGAAAGCAGGUCAUAGUGAUCCGGUGGUUCUGAAUGGAAGGGCCAUCGCUCAACGGAUAAAAGGUACUCCGGGGAUAACAGGCUGAUACCGCCCAAGAGUUCAUAUCGACGGCGGUGUUUGGCACCUCGAUGUCGGCUCAUCACAUCCGGGGCUGAAGUAGGUCCCAAGGGUAUGGCUGUUCGCCAUUUAAAGUGGUACGCGAGCUGGGUUUAGAACGUCGUGAGACAGUUCGGUCCCUAUCUGCCGUGGGCGCUGGAGAAUUGAGGGGGGCUGCUCCUAGUACGAGAGGACCGGAGUGGACGCAUCACUGGUGUUCGGGUUGUCAUGCCAAUGGCACUGCCCGGUAGCUAAAUGCGGAAGAGAUAAGUGCUGAAAGCAUCUAAGCACGAAACUUGCCCCGAGAUGAGUUCUCCCUGAGACUUUAAGUCUCCUGAAGGAACGUUAAAGACGAUGACGUUGAUAGGCCGGGUGUGUAAGCGCAGCGAUGCGUUGAGCUAACCGGUACUAAUGAACCGUGAGGCUUAACCUUACAACGCCGAAG
rnacentral:rRNA from 1 species